UACGUAGGGGGCAAGCGUUGUCCGGAAUCAUUGGGCGUAAAGAGCGUGUAGGCGGCUCGAUAAGUCUGCUGUGAAAGUCCAGGGCUCAACCCUGGAAGGCCGGUGGAAACUGUCGGGCUAGAGUCCGGAAGAGGCGAGUGGAAUUCCCGGUGUAGCGGUGAAAUGCGCAGAUAUCGGGAGGAACACCGGUGGCGAAGGCGGUUCUCUGGGCCUUACCUGACACUGAGGAGCGAAAGCGUGGGGAGCGAACAGG
rnacentral:rRNA from 1 species